CCUACGGGCGGCAGCAGUGGGGAAUAUUGCACAAUGGGGGGAACCCUGAUGCAGCGACGCCGCGUGCGUGAAGAAGUAUUUCGGUAUGUAAAGCUCUAUCAGCAGGGAAGAAAAUGACGGUACCUGACUAAGAAGCCCCGUCUAACUACGUGCCAGCAGCCGCGGUAAUACGGAGGGGGCAAGCGUUAUCCGGAUUUACUGGGCGUAAGGGGAGCGUAGACGGUUAUGCAAGUCUGAAGUGAAAGCCCAAGGCUCAACCAUGGGACUGCUUUGGAAACUGUAAAACUGGAGUGCAGGAGAGGUAGGCGGAAUUCCUAGUGUAGCGGUGAAAUGCGUAGAUAUGAGGAGGAACACC
rnacentral:rRNA from 1 species